rnacentral:rRNA from 1 species
UACGUAGGGGCAAGCGUUAUCCGGAUUUACUGGGUGUAAAGGGAGAGUAGACGGUAUGGUAAGUCAGAUGUGAAAGCCCGGGGCUCAACCCCGGGACUGCAUUUGAAACUAUCAAACUGGAGUGCAGGAGAGGUAAGUGGAAUUCCUAGUGUAGCGGUGAAAUGCGUAGAUAUUAGGAGGAACACCAGUGGCGAAGGCGGCUUACUGGACUGUAACUGACGUUGAGGCUCGAAAGCGUGGGGAGCAAACAGGAUUAGAUACCCGGGUAGUCCCUGAGCGGGCU